GAUGAACGCUGGCGGCGUGCCUAAUACAUGCAAGUCGAGCGAACGGACGAGAAGCUUGCUUCUCUGAUGUUAGCGGCGGACGGGUGAGUAACACGUGGAUAACCUACCUAUAAGACUGGGAUAACUUCGGGAAACCGGAGCUAAUACCGGAUAAUAUUUUGAACCGCAUGGUUCAAAAGUGAAAGACGGUCUUGCUGUCACUUAUAGAUGGACCCGCGCUGCAUUAGCUAGUUGGUAAGGUAACGGCUUACCAAGGCAACGAUGCAUAGCCGACCUGAGAGGGUGAUCGGCCACACUGGAACUGAGACACGGUCCAGACUCCUACGGGAGGCAGCAGUAGGGAAUCUUCCGCAAUGGGCGAAAGCCUGACGGAGCAACGCCGCGUGAGUGAUGAAGGUCUUCGGAUCGUAAAACUCUGUUAUUAGGGAAGAACAUAUGUGUAAGUAACUGUGCACAUCUUGACGGUACCUAAUCAGAAAGCCACGGCUAACUACGUGCCAGCAGCCGCGGUAAUACGUAGGUGGCAAGCGUUAUCCGGAAUUAUUGGGCGUAAAGCGCGCGUAGGCGGUUUUUUAAGUCUGAUGUGAAAGCCCACGGCUCAACCGUGGAGGGUCAUUGGAAACUGGAAAACUUGAGUGCAGAAGAGGAAAGUGGAAUUCCAUGUGUAGCGGUGAAAUGCGCAGAGAUAUGGAGGAACACCAGUGGCGAAGGCGACUUUCUGGUCUGUAACUGACGCUGAUGUGCGAAAGCGUGGGGAUCAAACAGGAUUAGAUACCCUGGUAGUCCACGCCGUAAACGAUGAGUGCUAAGUGUUAGGGGGUUUCCGCCCCCUAGUGCUGCAGCUAACGCAUUAAGCACUCCGCCUGGGGAGUACGACCGCAAGGUUGAAACUCAAAGGAAUUGACGGGGACCCGCACAAGCGGUGGAGCAUGUGGUUUAAUUCGAAGCAACGCGAAGAACCUUACCAAAUCUUGACAUCCUUUGACAACUCUAGAGAUAGAGCUUUCCCCUUCGGGGGACAAAGUGACAGGUGGUGCAUGGUUGUCGUCAGCUCGUGUCGUGAGAUGUUGGGUUAAGUCCCGCAACGAGCGCAACCCUUAAGCUUAGUUGCCAUCAUUAAGUUGGGCACUCUAAGUUGACUGCCGGUGACAAACCGGAGGAAGGUGGGGAUGACGUCAAAUCAUCAUGCCCCUUAUGAUUUGGGCUACACACGUGCUACAAUGGACAAUACAAAGGGCAGCGAAACCGCGAGGUCAAGCAAAUCCCAUAAAGUUGUUCUCAGUUCGGAUUGUAGUCUGCAACUCGACUACAUGAAGCUGGAAUCGCUAGUAAUCGUAGAUCAGCAUGCUACGGUGAAUACGUUCCCGGGUCU
rnacentral:rRNA from 1 species